rnacentral:rRNA from 1 species
UACGUAGGGUGCAAGCGUUAUACGGAAUUAUUGGGCGUAAAGAGCUCGUAGGCGGUUUGUCGCGUCUGCUGUGAAAGUUCGGGGCUCAACCCCGGAACUGCAGUGGGUACGGGCAGACUAAAGUGCGGUAGAGGAGACUGGAAUUCCUGGUGUAGCGGUGGAAUGCGCAGAUAUCAGGAGGAACACCAGUGGCGAAGGCGGGUCUCUGGGCCGCAACUGACGCUGAGGAGCGAAAGCGUGGGGAGCGAACAGG